rnacentral:rRNA from 1 species
AUUGAUUGUAAUUAUAAUUAUACAUGCUAGCCUCCACACACCAGUGAGUAACCCCCCCCCAGAGCCGGCAUCAGGCACACCAUCAACGGUAGCCCAAGACACCUAGCCUCGCCACACCCCCACGGGCCACAGCAGUAAUAAACACUAAGCAAUGAGCCCACUUACACUUGACUUGAUAAUAAUGUGCCUCAUAGGGCCGGUAAACCCCGUGCCAGCCACCGCGGUUAUACGAGGGGCCCAAAACAAUAUACUUCGGCGUAAAAUGUGACUAAUGGACAGUUUAAAAGUCGAAGGUGUAAGCCUAAUGAAAGUUGUAAAAUACAUAGUGCCUACGGUCAACCCACAUCCUCACUAACUAACCCACCUGACCUCACGAAAACUGAGACCCAAACUAGGAUUAGAUACCCUACUAUGCUCAGUCGUAAACUAUGGUGUACUACACCCGCCAGAGAAUUACAAGCGACCAGCUUGAAACUCAAAGGACUUGACAGUAUCUCAUACACCCCUAGAGGAGCCUGUCCUAGAAUCGAUAACCCACGAUAAACCUCACCUGCCCUUGCACCAGUCAGCCUAUAUACCUCCGUCGCCAGUCCGCCUGUCAACAGCCCCCAAAGCGCAUACAACAGCCAACCGCUCACACGACAGGUCAAGGUGUAGCUAAUGGGCCGAGCAGAGAUGGGCUACAUUUUCUUUAGCUAGAAAAUACCUAAAAUGCCAUGCAAACCGCACACGAGGUGGAUUUAGCAGUAAGGGGGGUAAGAAAAACCCACUUGAAGCUUACCAUGAGAUGUGUACACACCGCCCGUCACCCUCCUCACAAGCACAUAAACUUAACUAAGACCCUCACAUAAC